rnacentral:rRNA from 1 species
UACGUAGGGAGCAAGCGUUGUCCGGAAUCAUUGGGCGUAAAGCGCGUGUAGGCGGCCACGCAGGUCCGCUGUGAAAACUCGAGGCUCAACCUCGAGAUGUCGGUGGAAACCGCGUGGCUAGAGUCCGGAAGAGGAGAGUGGAAUUCCCGGUGUAGCGGUGAAAUGCGCAGAUAUCGGGAAGGACACCCAUGGCGAAGGCAGCUCUCUGGGACGGUACUGACGCUGAGACGCGAAAGCGUGGGGAGCGAACAGG